GUUGAGAAUGUGUUGGUGGUACAGCCAGUCUUACCUUCAGGAGAAUUAGCCUCCAAGUCAGAGAAUUACAUUACCAUACAGUAUGCCUGUCUCUUGUAAUUGGAGAAACUGCCUAUCAGCCUGUCAUCACAGACACACCGGCACAUAAACCUCAGUUACCAGCACUUGAAGAGAAUCCCAG